rnacentral:rRNA from 1 species
CAACUUCGGUUAUAAGAUCCCUCGAAGAUGACGAGGUUAAUAGGUUCGAGGUGGAAGCGUGGUGACACGUGGAGCUGACGAAUACUAAUCGAUCGAAGACUUAAUCAAU